rnacentral:rRNA from 1 species
AGCUUAAAGUUUAUAUUUUAGGUGAGACCUGCUCAAUGAAGAUGUAGAUUAUUUAAAUAGCCGCAGUACUUUGACUGUGCUAAGGUAGCAUAAUAAAUUGGCUUUUAAUUGAAGUCUGGAAUGAAAGGUAAAUUUGAAAAAGAUUGUCUCUAAUUAGAUUUAUUGAACUUACUUAAUAGGUGAAAAUUCCUAUGUUUUUCAUAAUAGACGAGAAGACCCUAAGAAUUAUUAAAAAUAAGUUUAUUUUACUUUAAUUUUUUGUUGGGGCAACAACUUUGAACAUAAAACCAAAGGGUUAAAGAUUCUAAGACAAAUUUUAUUUUGAAAAAAAUUAAUUACCUUAGGGAUAACAGCAUAAUUUUCUUUUUAGAUUGUGACCUCGAUGUUGGAUUAAGGACCCCUUAGGUAAGCCACUUAAGAGAAUAGUUCUGUUCGAACUUUAUACCCUU